UCAAGGUUGUGGGAGGGGAGAGAAGUUAGAAUGGCAGGGCAAGCAGGGGGCACACGUAAACUAGAGCUGAUCUGUGGCUGAGUCAGGGGAUGUGCAGAGAAAUUCCUUGGAGCUCAGGGGCAGAACCUCAUUUUCUCCUGAGAUGCGUGCAGUGGCUUCAUUUAUACAUGGGUCUCUUCAUCUCUGUUAAAGGAAACAGCCUGCUGAGAAAAAUCAUCCUUGAGCCACAGCUUUUCAUAUUCAGCCCAUCAAAGGGCAAUGUUUUAACUGUGAACUCCAGAAAAGGUCAUAUCAUUCAGGUGGGAGCCUUGUUGGCUUUGGCUACAGUACAGAGCUUCUGGGGGCCCCUGAACAAAGCCCCAGCUGUUGGUUCUGGCUCUCAGGUGGGAAGGGCUGUGAAAAUGAGCACAAGUAAUCAAGGCAUAAUUGCUUGCAUAGGGUGAGGACCAACAGGCUGCACCUGUGAAUUUGAGUGCCGUGUGGAAAGAGUCUUAGUUUGUGUUUGUCGACAGGCUCCUCAGUUCCUCUGUUUUUGGCUACUUGCUUCAGACUUUGCUAAAAGUCUAGCUGAGUUCUUACUUUACAGAUGCAAGGGCAAAAGCAAAGGAAUGUGUCUGAAAUCCAGGCACUGCUUGAAUGGAAGAAGCAGGAUGAAAACACAAGGAUCUUUUCUAUGCACUUCUGUCUCUGCCAGCCGGGUUUUAGCAAUGGCCAAAUACUUCUUUUCCUUGUGUUAGAGGUGAAGCCUAGCAGCAGUUGAAGAAACCCAGCAGCAGCUGAAGAAACCCUGCAGCAGCUGAAGAAACCUUGCAGCAGUUGAAGAAGAAACCUCGCAGCAUUUCAAUUCCUUUUGCUUUGAGCAGAGAGGUGUCCUGCCUGACUUCUAACACAGGUGUUUCUCUAAUGUUUUGACUGGGGUCGAAGCUCACAGCAAGGGGCUGCUGUUCUGCCCUUCAGGGUGAGUCUAGCACAGAAGACACUUGGCUUCUCUUCUGGCACAUUUCCCGUGGCCGUGGAGCUCCCUGCGCUUGUCAUACCUGCACAGAAGCAAGCUCUACCUAGUCCUUUAUCUUCACUUCAAUUACUCAAAUACAUACCAUACAGCACACAAUUGGCUGCCCAGAGAAGUUGUGGAUGCCCCAUCCUUGGAAGUGUUUAAGACUGGACUGAAUGAAGCUUUGAACAACCUGCUCUAGUGGAAAGUGUUCCUGCCCACAGCUGGGAGAGCUGGAACUAGGUAAUUUUUAAGAUCCCUUUGCGCUCAAGCCAUUCUAUGAAACCAUGUGACAAAUUGCACCCACAGUUUGUGCUAGUUGGAAGCUAAAAUAAUCUCAUGGGUUGAAAAGAAGGCAGGAGUCACCAAAAUGAAGGAGGAAGUCACAUAACUGAAGUGAACCCCCAAGAACACGCUGCAGAAAGGAGUAUUUUGAUUAAGGGAAAUAGGAUAUAAACCAUAUAGAAAGGACUAAACAACAGUGCAGGGAAGAAGCCUGGUUUGGCUUACUGGGACUAGCAAAAGCCAAUUAGUGAUUUCCACAUCAUUCAUUACUUUUUUCAUCAAAUUAAUUCCAUACACUCACCCCCACUGACUGCUUGCAUGCCAGCACCAUUUGAAGUUUUAAAGUAAUUCAAAGCACAAUAAGGAAAUCUCCUAAUGAUCCCUCAUGUGUCACAGUGGGAUACUCUUCUCUCAUCUCCAGUGUUCUCCACUCAUGAGGUAAUUGCCAGCAGUUAGUCUCAAAAGGACAUGCAACAGCUGUAGGAGGAGGACCUAGACAGGCUGCUGCUUUUACUGUAUGCAUGUCAGACAGUGCUGAAGCAUUUUGCAAAAGGAAAUUGCAGGGAUACAAUCCACAGACAUCCAAACAUUGCUACAAAUGCUAACUUUGGAGCGUGGGGAUUCUUUCAAAGGCAUCUUGAAAAAUUACGUAGGCCCCAAUGGGCUGUCAAGAGUUUAGUACAGUAUUUUUCAUGUCAAUCCACACUUGAAAGAAAAGGUCUUCUUUCCCCUUUCCUGGAACACAAAUCAGCAGUGGCCAAGUUCAAAAGACCAAAAGUAAAUUCAGAGAGACAGCCUUGCACUGUAAAACCCAACAUGGAAAAUGCUGGCCCUUUAAAGGGGGACAUCAAGUGAAAAAUAUUCUCAGUGAAAAACUAUGCUAAAAGAUCUCUGUAGUGUCUGUUUUGUAAUUAGUGCCUGUACUUCUGUUGCCUUUAGGUUAUGGGUUAGAAAAGACAAGGAGUUGCUACUACAUUACCUGUAGCAAAGGUCUGACAUUUAAUUCAUAUUACACUCCCCUUCCCCUGGAGUACCUGUUUUAAAAGCUGUGCUUUCACCUGCUGAGCAGCUAAUCUGCUCCAGCGUAUCAAUGGGAGGAUAAGAGUUUGAAUUCAA